AUGAAGACGCUUCACCUCGCAGAGGCGUGAAGAGUCCUUUAAGAACUGA
rnacentral:snoRNA from 1 species